rnacentral:rRNA from 1 species
UACGUAGGGAGCAAGCGUUGUCCGGAAUCAUUGGGCGUAAAGCGCGCGUAGGCGGCCCGAUAAGUCCGCUGUGAAAGUCAACGGCUCAACUGUUGGAUGCCGGUGGAUACUGUCGGGCUAGAGUACGGAAGAGGCAAGUGGAAUUCCUGGUGUAGCGGUGGAAUGCGCAGAUAUCAGGAGGAACACCAAUGGCGAAGGCAGCUCGCUGGGACGUGACUGACGCUGAGACGCGAAAGCGUGGGGAGCAAACAGG